CAGUCGCCACGGUAAUACGAAGGGGGCUAGCGUUGUUCGGAUUUACUGGGCGUAAAGCGCACGUAGGCGGACUUUUAAGUCAGGGGUGAAAUCCCGGGGCUCAACCCCGGAACUGCCUUUGAUACUGGGAGUCUUGAGUUCGAGAGAGGUGAGUGGAAUUGCGAGUGUAGAGGUGAAAUUCGUAGAUAUUCGCAGGAACACCAGUGGCGAAGGCGGCUCACUGGCUCGAUACUGACGCUGAGGUGCGAAAGCGUGGGAAGCAAACAGGAUUAGAUACCCCCGUAGUCCCUGUCUCUUAUAC
rnacentral:rRNA from 1 species